GGGCUCUCCCUGCCGAAAUGGGUCUGGCCUUUUCCGAGGGCCCUUCUCCCCGGUGGCCAGCCGGGCCGCUAAGCCACCCCACCGACCUCCACGGCAAAGAAACGAAGGACUGAAAACGGCAAGCCUCAGAGGGGACGUCUGAAGUAGGAAAUUCAAAAGUUUCCAGCAGAGCGACACCAGUCCCUAUUUUCAGAGAUGCAGACUCCACGGCACUUGAUAACUUCUUGCAGGUAACCUGGUUUUCCUUC